UGGGGAAUUUUGGACAAUGGGCGAAAGCCUGAUCCAGCAAUGCCGCGUGUGUGAAGAAGGCCUUCGGGUUGUAAAGCACUUUUGUCCGGAAAGAAAUCCUUGGCUCUAAUACAGUCGGGGGAUGACGGUACCGGAAGAAUAAGCACCGGCUAACUACGUGCCAGCAGCCGCGGUAAUACGUAGGGUGCAAGCGUUAAUCGGAAUUACUGGGCGUAAAGCGUGCGCAGGCGGUUUGCUAAGACCGAUGUGAAAUCCCCGGGCUCAACCUGGGAACUGCAUUGGUGACUGGCAGGCUAGAGUAUGGCAGAGGGGGGUAGAAUUCCACGUGUAGCAGUGAAAUGCGUAGAGAUGUGGAGGAAUACCGAUGGCGAAGGCAGCCCCCUGGGCCAAUACUGACGCUCAUGCACGAAAGCGCGGGGAGCAAACAGGAUUAGAUACCCCUGGUAGUCCACGCCCUAAACGAUGUCAACUAGUUGUUGGGGAUUCAUUUCCUUAGUAACGUAGCUAACGCGUGAAGUUGACCGCCUGGGGAGUACGGUCGCAAGAUUAAAACUCAAAUGAAUUGACGGGGUCAUAGCUGUUU
rnacentral:rRNA from 1 species